rnacentral:rRNA from 1 species
CCUACGGGAGGCAGCAGUAAGGAAUAUUGGACAAUGGUCGCAAGACUGAUCCAGCCAUGCCGCGUGCAGGAUGACUGCCCUAUGGGUUGUAAACUGCUUUUGUACGGGAAUAAACCCCUCUACGUGUAGAGGGCUGAAUGUACCGUAAGAAUAAGGGUCGGCUAACUUCGUGCCAGCAGCCGCGGUAAGACGAAGGACCCAAGCGUUAUCCGGAUUCAUUGGGUUUAAAGGGUGCGUAGGCGGAUUGAUAAGUCAGUGGUGAAAGCCUGUUGCUUAAACAACAGAACUGCCAUUGAUACUGUCUAUCUUGAAUAUGGUUGAUGUGGGCGGAAUAUGACAUGUAGCGGUGAAAUGCUUAGAUAUGUCAUAGAACACCGAUUGCGAAGGCAGCUCACAAAGCCAUUAUUGACGCUGAGGCACGAAAGCGUUGGGGAUCAAACAGGAUUAGAUACCCUGGUAGUCCACGCUGUAAACUUUGAUCACUCGGCUGUUGGCGNGACACUNUCNGCGCGACGACGAAGACGUAGUAGA